rnacentral:rRNA from 1 species
UACGUAGGGGGCAAGCGUUGUCCGGAAUCACUGGGCGUAAAGGGCGUGUAGGCGGGAAGGAAAGUCAGAUGUGAAAUCCCUGGGCUCAACCCAGGAACUGCAUUUGAAACUCCCUUUCUUGAGUGUCGGAGAGGAGAGCGGAAUUCCUGGUGUAGAGGUGAAAUUCGUAGAUAUCAGGAGGAACACCGGUGGCGAAGGCGGCUCUCUGGACGAUAACUGACGCUGAGACGCGAAAGCGUGGGGAGCAAACAGG